GGGUAUAGCUCAAUUGGUAGAGCAUUGGUCUCCAAAACCAAAGGCUGUGGGUUCAAGUCCUACUGCCC
rnacentral:tRNA from 1 species